GCGAAGACAUCGCUCCUCCUCCACCCGCAGCCGCGGAGACCGCGCGCUUCUCUUCCUCGCUCACUCCUCCCAGCGUCCUCGCAGGAGCGACUCCCCGCUGCCGCCGCGGCCGUCCUCCUCGCUCGCUCCUCCUGCUCCCCGCUGCCGCCGCUACGCCGCGCCAUAGCCGGAGCCGCCGCGGCCGUCCUCCUUCUUCCCCACCGCUGCGCCCCGCUCUUCCCCACCUCCUUCUUCCCAGAUCGUGCUUCUCCCACUCGGAUCAGCCGACGGAGCCGACUUUGGCCCCUUCUCCGCCGCCGGAACCGACAUCGACCUCAGCCCGCGGCCGUCCUUCUUCUUCCCCACCGCCGCGGCUGUCCUCCUCACGGGCUUCUCCUCCGUCCCGCUGCCGGCGCUACGCCGCGUCCUCGCCGGAGCCGCCGCCGUAUCGUUCUUCUCCCACUCGGACCCGUACGAAUCUCCGUCCUCCACCUUCGCCGCUCGCCCCUCUCUCUCUCUCUCUUCGCCCGUGACUCCAUCCCCUCCCUAGCCGCUGCCCUCGCGGCCUCGCCAUCGCCAAUCCCUCCAUGCCUUCUCGGGCUCAUGGUGGAGGGGCGGGGGCUGCCUUCGGUGGAGGGUUACAGCCGAUCCCCAUCAACAGCGCCCGCGAGUGAGGAUCAAGCCGCCGCUAUCGAGCCAAAUCAGGCGGACAAGCUGAGCUGACGGUGUAUACGGGAGGUAGAGAUGGACACCAGCGACGGCGGUGCGUUCGAUCCACGCAAAAGUGACCUUGAUAGCAUGUGGCGGGAGAGGAUCGGCGGUGGCGCCUGAGAUGUCGACAGGGAACAUGCUUGCAGAUCUCUCUUCCGUCAAUGGCUACCACGAGGGUCUUCCCAUGGUGCUUGCCCACAUUGCCACCUACGCCGCGCUUGCUCUUCCCCCAACUGUCGACGCCCGGCACCAUAGCUGCCGAGGCCAAGAAGAUCUGGACCAUCUGGUCAUCUUUGGCGCCAUGAAUCCGGCCACUUCCGCCAACGGGGCUGCUGCCAUCAUCGACCCGCCGUCUCACACGGUUCAAUGGGCAUCAUCACACGCCUAUGCUUCAUGUCCUUCUUUACUAGCAGGUCAUCAGGUGGAGAAGCCAUCCAUAUGCUAAAUAGGUCUCAAGAUAGGAGUGAGCAGCAAGUUCGGUUUUCAUUGGGCCAUACUCCUCAUCUGAACAAACAGCCAUCAUGGCCCAGGGAGUAUAAAGUUGAAUAGAGCGGUUGCGAUGACGGCAGCUCAGCUCAACAAUGGCACUGGGCGUGCACUGGGAGGCCAGUCUGCUCCCCAGUUUGGCACUCCUUGUGGUAAGGGAAACGAGGAGAAAGAAAUGACCGACCAACAGGUUGUGAAAGACACCAACGACCUGCAUCACGCAAAUAAACAGGUAUUUAUUAUUUUGGUUAGUUUGGUUUGUUGUGCAGAUAUUAAUUAAGGCCAGGGGUAGGGGUUGAAGACUUAUGGAUGAAUCCGGUACCGUAACCUUCACAUUUGACCGUUCAUUAGUAGCUAAAUGGACGGCUACCAUGCAUCUGAUACAUCAAUCUGUAGGCUAAUGACAUAUCUUGAGUUAUAGCGAUACUUUCUUUAAACAAUUGCUAUCUUUUUAUGUACUGAAAUUUGCAUAAUCCUUAUGAUGUGUUUUUCUUUAAUCAUAUUUAUGUAAUUAAUACAUGUAGAGGAUAAGAAGAGAGAUGAUUAGCUUCUGCAUUUCUGAGAUGUGAAUAUCUAACUAGGUAUCCAGAUCCUAAGAAAAAAUAUCUUCAGAGAAUAGUAUCAAGCAAAUAUUCAGAGAAAACAGUGGGCCCAUUUUUUUUGGGGUAUUUCAUACCAUUAAUCGUAGCAUUCGGCAGUUCUGCAGUUAUGUAUACUUUGCACUUCUAUUGUGCAAAUGUUAUGUUACAAUAUAUAUGCUGUUCUGAAGGUCCAUGACGAAAUUCUUGCUGCAAUCACAGAAACAGAGGAGGGACCUCUCCAUUUGAAAUGCUCUAGGCUACAUAAAAAACUGACCUAAUCAUAUGAAACCUUAAGAUAGUACAUAUUAUUAUUAGACAAUAUGUUGGUCUUUUCUUGCUAAACCUGAAUUGUUAUAUUGGUGCAUAGUGGAAUUAGUAAGAUUGGUGUGACUAAGGAGAUAUAUUUGAAGUGUAUACAUUUUUAUUAAGUCAAUAGACAAUGUUUCAGCCUGCAGUGAUCGACAUAUUCAGGUGUCAGUAGAGAGGCACAACAUUUAUUUGCUUACUGGAUUACUUCUAGACAAGGUUUGCUUCUUGCUUUUCUAUGACUGACAUGUUAUAGCUCCGCUAAAUGAAGUAUUAUUACAAUUUUAGUGGAGCAUUAUGAUAUUAGUUAUGCUGAUUUAAAAUGCGGUAAUCUAUUGCUUUAGACAUGGGAACAUACAUGAUGAAUUGACCUCUUGUUAUAGUUUUAGUUUCAUCAUGAUUUUUUAGAAAUAUAUAUAAUAUAUGAAUAUUCACAAUGCAACAUCCUCUGCCUUUUCUUCUUUGGAUAUAUCACACUGAGAUAAAAGGGAAUUAUUAAUAUGUUAGAUUGUGCUAUCAGUGUUGAUGUGAAACAAAGUUAUCAUCGGUAUUUUUUAUCAUGGAUUUCUAUUUUCUAAUAUCCGUUUCCUAUCUAACCAAAGGAGGGAACAACAAUCGGUGCAUGAUCUCUCUACCUGAUUUAGACAGGUAACACUAUCAAACACAACUUGCAUGGGAUUUCUAUUUUUCUGUUGGUCAUGUGGGUUAGUAAUGAGGCAUGAGAAAAUUUUUUCAAAUUUGAUUACUAUAAAUUAUUGUUACUCUAACAUCCCUACUCAUGUUAGAUGAUGUUCUGAAAAAGAUUCUAGCCUGUAUAGCUUUAUGUGCAAUGCCUCUUGAGGAUGCUGCAGGUUGUGUAUUUUCUGAAUUAUUUGUUGUAAAUAACCAUACACACAUGGAUUCUUCUUUAUGUUUCUUCAUGCACCAUUGAAACUUUGAUGUGCUAGCAGCCAGGGAGUUGCCAUUUUCCUUUCUACAUUCUGAUGGAGGUAAACUCAACAUAUAUGUGUAUGUGAAACCAUGUCAUUAAUAUAUUUUGGCGUAUUUCUGAUAUAAUACUUAAAACAAGUGCUUAUCAGUUUUAUUUCGAGGGAUUAACUGAAUCUGGAAAAGUUUUAUUUCGAGGGAUUAACUGAAUCUGGAAAAUGGAGGACCUAGAUUUUCUAAAGGGUCAUCUGAUAAUAUAUGUUAUUGAACAAGUGUGAUCUUUCUUUAUUUUUGCUAAUUUAUUGAUACCUUGCCAUUUUUUAAGUUCUAUUUCCUGUACCAAUUUCCUAUAAUCAAUGUAGUUUUUUUUAUUUACAUAAGUCUCUCAAAGGUAUUGUCAAGCUUCUGACCAUGCUAACAUUGAGGCUGCCUUGUAACAGUGUACCUCUCCUCAAAUAUCAGAAACAUGGUUGGAAGAGUCCAUUCUAAAUGGCAUGAUGGCCACAAAGUUUGUUUGCUCCAAGGCCACAAAUAGUGUCUCAAAAUAUAGUAUAAAUUUGUAUGAUCUUCUCUUUAAAUUCUAAACACGGUUUUUGACAACUGACAAGUAUGGAUAAAAAAUUCGAUGCCUAAAAAUAUGCAGGAGCCUCAAGUGAUAUCUUUAGAAGGGAUGAGUUUAUUGUAAUAAACAUGAAUAUAUGAUGUAGGCUUAGACAAUAUUUCUAGAUUGACAUUUUAAUUUCUAUAUAAUACAUGAUUCAUGAGUUUGAAAUGUAUAUGUAGUUAUUUAUAUUU